ACAGAGGUGCCAAGCGUUGUUCGGAUUUACUGGGCGUAAAGGGUGCGUAGGCGGCCAUACAAGUCGGAUGUGAAAUACCGGAGCCCAACUCCGGAACGGCAUCCGAAACUGUAUGGCUGGAGAUCUGGAGAGGUGACUGGAAUUCUCGGUGUAGCAGUGAGAUGCGUAGAUAUCGAGAGGAACACCAGAGGCGAAAGCGAGUCACUGGACAGAAUCUGACGCUGAGGCACGAAAGCCAGGGGAGCAAACGG
rnacentral:rRNA from 1 species